CCUUGACCGAUACGGACACAUUUUCAAAAAAUAAAAAAAUAAAGCGCAAUAAAAUUCCGAUACUGCGCAGCAAGACCAUUCAUUCGCUAGUUGACGUGUGGAAGCGAACAACAAUUUUCAAGCAUACAAAAGCGAGAUGUCUAGCCAACAGAGUGGAGGUGGUAAAUACGGCGGCACGGGGGACAAGGCGGACCUGAGUAACCAUGGCAGCCAGUGUAACCCGAACAAUCCCGAGUACAAGGGUCAUCAGUCCGGGUACACAGGGACAGGCACAAAGCCGGACCUCGAUAACCAUGGCAGUCAGUUGAACCCGAAUAACAGCAGGUCCCAGUCAAAAAAAUGACGUCAUUUUACGAGGAAAGAUGAGCCGUCAUACUAGGCUUUAAAAAUAUGGUUUUGUGACCAUGUUUGAAACUCAAUAAAAAACAAAACAAAUUCAGUUGUAUUUUUUCCCUUUGUUCAAUAACUAAGUUUCUGGAUAAUGACAAUAAUAUUUAGUAUUGUGGUUGUCAUGGUAACAUUUUGAUUGCCAUUUAAAACUUCAAUCAUAAUUUUACAAGAAUUUUGUCACCAGUUCAAUAAUAUGUUAUUUUGUGUAAGAUAUAUAACUACAAAUUAUAUAAAGACAUA